rnacentral:misc_RNA from 1 species
UACUAAUCAUUGUUUAUAAUUCUGACAAUCACCUUCCUAACUGCAGACGCCUGUUGAUUUACUUCCAAUCAAAGGGAUAAAUUUUUAUUUACUGUGAAGUACACACUACUGUAUAUUGCUGGUUCUCUGUCUAUUCUGUCUCUUGUUUGUAGUUCAAAUUUUACAAAUUGUAAAAUGUACGAGAGCUGUGGAUGUAUUCUUAUCAACUGUAAUGAUG